rnacentral:rRNA from 1 species
UGAGUACGAGCUGCUACGGCAGCGAAGUGGGUGAUGUCAAGCUUCCAAGAAAAGCCCUAUACCCGUUAAGGCAUGACGGCCUGUACCCGAAACCGACACAGGUGGGGUGGUAGAGAAUACCGAGGGGCGCGAGAUAACUCUCUCUAAGGAACUCGGCAAAAUGGCCCCGUAACUUCGGGAGAAGGGGUGCCACCGCAAGGUGGUCGCAGUGAAGAGGCCCAGGCGACUGUUUACCAAAAACACAGGUCUCCGCUAAGUCGCAAGACGAUGUAUGGGGGCUGACGCCUGCCCAGUGCCGGAAGGUUAAGGAAGCUGGUCAGCGCAAGCGAAGCUAGCGACUGAAGCCCCGGUGAACGGCGGCCGUAACUAUAACGGUCCUAAGGUAGCGAAAUUCCUUGUCGGGUAAGUUCCGACCCGCACGAAAGGCGUAACGAUCUGGGCGCUGUCUCGGAGAGAGGCUCGGCGAAAUAGAAUUGUCUGUGAAGAUGCGGACUACGUGCACCCGGACAGAAAGACCCUAUGAAGCUUUACUGUAGCUUGGUAUUGUGCCCGGGCUCUGAAUGCGCAGGAUAGGUGGGAGGCUUUGAUCCAUUGCUUGUGGGUAAUGGUGAGCCACUGGUGAGAUACCACUCUUUCAGAGCUAGGGUUCUAACGGUCACCCGUUAUCCGGGGACCGGACAGUAUCAGGUGGGCAGUUUGACUGGGGCGGUCGCCUCCUAAAAGGUAACGGAGGCACGCAAAGGUUCCCUCAGGCUGGUUGGAAAUCAGCCGACGAGUGUAAAGGCAGAAGGGAGCUUGACUGUGAGACCUACAAGUCGAACAGGGACGAAAGUCGGCCUUAGUGAUCCGACGGUUCUGAGUGGAAGGGCCGUCGCUCAACGGAUAAAAGUUACUCUAGGAUAACAGGCUGAUCUCCCCCAAGAGUUCACAUCGACGGGGAGGUUUGGCACCUCGAUGUCGGCUCAUCGCAACCUGGGGCUGAAGUCGGUCCCAAGGGUUGGGCUGUUCGCCCAUUAAAGCGGUACGCGAGCUGGGUUCAGAACGUCGUGAGACAGUUCGGUCCAUAUCCGGUGCACGCGCAGGAACAUUGAGAGGAUUUCUCCCUAGUACGAGAGGACCGGGAGGAACGCACCUCUGGUGUACCAGUUAUCGUGCCAACGGUAAACGCUGGGUAGCCAUGUGCGGAGCGGAUAACCGCUGAAAGCAUCUAAGUGGGAAGCCCACCUCAAGAUGAGUGUUCCCAUGGCAUAAGCCAGUAAGGUCACGGGAAGAACACCCGUUGAUAGGCUCUACGUGGAAGCGUGGCAACACGUGAAGCGGAGGAGUACUAAUAGACCGAGGGCUUGAU